rnacentral:lncRNA from 10 species
CAAGGGGCUGGUCUUGAACUCCUAGGCUCAAGUGAUCCUCCAGCCUUGGCCUCCCAAAUUGCUGGGAUUGCAGGCAUAAGCCAGCGCCUGAGGUAGGAGUAAUUUUUAAAGUGUCCCAAGUGAUUGCAAACUGUAGCCAAGAUGAAGACCCCCAACCACCUGGGUAGAGGCAUCUAGAUCUACCCAACAGUGCAUUUGGUCUCAUGGGACGCUGAAGGUAGACUGGAAAUCAGGGAAAUGAAAAGUGCAGGAAGCAGAAGGAUCUUCAUCAACGUGGGUGAGAGCAGGUGUACUUGCCUGAAAGGAGGGCUGGAAGAGGGGGAAAGACCAAUGCAAAGACUCCACAAAGGGAACAAGACAUACAGGCCACAAAGUCAUGCCAAUAAUCCUAUAGCCUACAGUGCUGCACUAGUUCCGUAAUUUCUAAUCAAAUGUCACUUUCCAUUGUCUGAUUUUAUUAUUUUCUUCAUCCACUGGCAUCCUCCUUCUUGAAUGUAUGUCCUUAGAGUCUUGAAAAUUAGCUUUAUGUGUGUUAUAAAUUUACAUCAAUGUCUUUGUGAUGCAGAUUUUCUCUGUUUCUGCUCAUUUUCAGGUGGCACUGACCCUCCUCCAUGUGACUAUAUUCAAGCAUCACCUCUGUGUGCUAAUGAACAUUUCAUCACAGUUCACUUCUCCAGUCCCUGAGGGAUGCACACCUGAGCUCCCUCCAGCUCCCGCUCCCACCAGCAGUGCUGAAAUGAACAUCUUCAUACCAGACCCCUUGCAGAUGUGACCUGAACAUCCAGAUGGGGCUGCAAGUUCAUCAGACUCUGUCAGAUGACCCAGUGUUGUCAAAGGAGAGUCUCCAUCAUUUUCCUCAUUUGUGAUGUUGGCCCCUGAGGACAGAUGGGCCCAUGAAUCUAUCUCCAGGGUCUGGCAAGGUCCAUUCACAUGGUGCCACCUUUGGCUCCAGGUCUUUCAUGAGGGAAAGCAAAGGCAGCUUGAAGUCAGGGGGGCAGUCCACAGACCACCCUCACUUCUAACUGUGGAGUUUGGGCGUUCAUUCCCAAGGCCAUUCUCAGGUUUGACCAUUUGCUAGAAAGACUCAUGGAAGUCACUGAAAGUGUUUAUACCCAUGGUUAUGGUUUAUUACUGUGUAAGGAUACAGAUCAAAUCAAGGAAGACACAUGUGGGGUAGAACCCAAGAGGGUUCCAAUGUCAGAGCUCCCAUUGUUCAUUGCCUGUGGAGUCACAGACAGGGCUGACUCCUCCAGGUAUGAUGUGUGACAAUAAGCAGAAUAUUGCCAACCGGGGGGCUUACCUGAGCCUUGGUGUUCUGAGUUUUUACUGGGGAGUCAUGGUCGAUGCCUGCCUGCCUGCAUGGCUGACCUUUAGACCCCAGACCCUGGAGGUUGAAAUGAUAUUUUCAACAGGCCCUGUUAUUAGUCAGGUUAGGCUUGGCUCUGCUGCAGAGGCAGAUAAACCCCCAAGCUCAGCAGUGCUAGACAAUAAAGGUUUGUUUCCUCCAUUGCGGUCCCAUGUCAUUUGGAAUGCAUGGCCCCCAAGGUCA